rnacentral:rRNA from 1 species
UGGGGAAUAUUGGACAAUGGGCGCAAGCCUGAUCCAGCAACGCCGCGUGGAGGACGAAGGCCUUAGGGUCGUAAACUCCUGUCAGUAGGGACGAAAAAGCAGGGUCGAACAGGCCCUUGCCAUUGACGGUACCUGCAGAGGAAGCCCCGGCUAACUCCGUGCCAGCAGCCGCGGUAAUACGGAGGGGGCUAGCGUUAUUCGGAAUUACUGGGCGUAAAGGGCGUGUAGGCGGCUUGAUAGGUCAAAAGGUGAAAUCCCUCGGCUCAACCGAGGAACUGCCUUUGAAACCAUCUGGCUCGAGGCUGGGAGGGGGUAGCGGAAUUCCUGGUGUAGCGGUGAAAUGCGUAGAUAUCAGGAGGAACACCAGUGGCGAAGGCGGCUACCUGGACCGGUUCUGACGCUGAGGCGCGAAAGCGUGGGG